GACGAACGCUGGCGGCGUGCUUAACACAUGCAAGUCGAACGAUGAACCCGGAGCUUGCUCCGGUGGAUUAGUGGCGAACGGGUGAGUAACACGUGAGUAACCUGCCCUUGACUCUGGGAUAACUGCGGGAAACUGUAGCUAAUACCGGAUACGACCCUCGGCGGCAUCGCCAGGGGGUGGAAAGAAUUUCGGUCAAGGAUGGACUCGCGGCCUAUCAGCUAGUUGGUGAGGUAACGGCUCACCAAGGCGACGACGGGUAGCCGGCCUGAGAGGGUGACCGGCCACACUGGGACUGAGACACGGCCCAGACUCCUACGGGAGGCAGCAGUGGGGAAUAUUGCACAAUGGGCGAAAGCCUGAUGGAGCGACGCCGCGUGAAGGAUGAGGCUUUUCGGAGUGUAAACUUCUUUUAUGUGGGAAGAUUAUGACGGUACCACAUGAAUAAGGACCGGCUAACUACGUGCCAGCAGCCGCCGCUAA
rnacentral:rRNA from 1 species